ensembl:snRNA U2 U2 spliceosomal RNA
AUUGCUUGGCCUUUUGGCUAAUAUCAAGUGUAGUAUCUGUUCUUAUCAGUUUAAUAUCUGAUACAUUCUCUAUCCAAGGACAAAAUAUUAAAUGAAUUUUUAGAGCUAGAAGUUGGAAUAGGCACUUGCUCCGUCUAUUCCACACACCUACCUGGUAUUGCAGUACCUCCAGGAACGGUAUAUACAGA